GACGAACGCUGGCGUCGUGCUUAACACAUGCAAGUCGAACGGAGUGGCGAACGGGUGAGUAACACGUGGGUGAUCUGCCUUGCACUUCGGGCUAAGCUUGGGAAACUGGGUCUAAUACCGGAUAGUGCAAGAUGAGCGGGCGGCCUAUAAGAUUGUUGGUGGGUUAAUGGCCUACCAAGGCGUCGACGAGUUGCCGGCCUGAGAGGGUGUACGGGCACAGUGGGACUGAGAUACGGCCCAGGCUCCUACGGGAGGGAGCAGUGGAGAAUAUAGCACGAUGGGCGGAAGCCUGAUGCAGGGACGCCGCGUGGGAGAGGAAGGCCUUCGGGUUGUAAGCUCCUUUGGACAGGGACGCGGUACCUGUAUAAGAAGCACCGGCUAACUACGUGCCAGCAGCCGCGGUAAUUC
rnacentral:rRNA from 1 species